rnacentral:rRNA from 1 species
UACGUAGGGUCCGAGCGUUGUCCGGAAUUAUUUGGGCGUAAAGGGCUCGUAGGCGGUUUUGUCGCGUCGGGGAGUGAAAACCAGGUGCUUAACACCUGGCCUGCUUUUCGAUACGGGCAGACUAGAGGCAUUCAGGGGAGAACGGAAUUCCUGGUGUAGCGGUGAAAUGCGCAGAUAUCAGGAGGAACACCGAUGGCGAAGGCAGAUCUCUGGGCCGUAACUGACACUGAGGAGCGAAAGCAUGGGGAGCGAACAGG